CUACUCAUCAGCCCAGCAGUAUAUCUACCCCAGCUCUUCACCCACUCCUCAUCAGACGGUAGCGUCAGCCAGUUUGGAUCACCUCUUGUUUGCCUGUUUGACUGUUCGACUCUCUUCCUGCCACACAACGAACCUCCCAAUAACCAGAUCAUCUUCACCGGUCUCUAGCUUCCUUCAACCCCCUGCCCCGUCAGUCAGCUCCCCUGCUCAUUCCCCUGCCUGCUGGCCACCCAGCCUACAUUCCAUGCUCCGCUCUGCCCUGCAAACCACCAUUCUCUCUUUGCCCUCAGCCUGCCGGAACCCUCAUUUUCCCAUUCCUCCUCAAACAAAGCAAUAAAAAAAAUCUUACACUGGA